rnacentral:rRNA from 1 species
UUUAACAUAAGAGUUUGAUCCUGGCUCAGGAUGAACGCUGGCGGCGUGCUUAACACAUGCAAGUCGAACGAAGAUAUUAAGAAUGAG